GGCAUCUGCAGCUAUACUGCASUCRGACRGGAUCWSAUCURWKCUUGCUUAAUUUAUGAGAGUGGCKCACGGGUGCRUAWCRCKUGASCRACCUACCCAUAUCWRGGGGAUARCCCGGARAAAUCCKGAUUAMCACCRCAUGACACMACSACUCKKCMUCAAKAUGUUGUUAAAUAUUUAUARGAUAUGGAUGGGCUCGCGUGACAUUASCUARUUGGUAAKGUAACGGCUUACCAWKGCUACGAUGUCWASGGGCUCUGARASGAKAAUCCCCCACACUGGUACUGAUACACGGACCAUACUCCUACKGGAGGCAKCARUAAKGAAUAUUGGUCAAUGGAKGGAACUCUGAACCAKCCAUGCCGCGUGCWSGAUGACUUCCCUAUGGGUUGUAAACUGCUUUUGUCCAGGAAUAACCACCACUACGUGUAGUGGCUUGAAUGUACUGGAAGAAUAAGGAUCGGCUAACUCCGUGCCAGCAGCCGCGGUAAUACGGAGGAUCCGAGCGUUAUCCGGAUUUAUUGGGUUUAAAGGGUGCGUAGGCGGCUCAUUAAGUCAGGGGUGAAAGACGGCAGCUCAACUGUCGCAGUGCCUUUGAUACUGAUGAGCUUGAAUGUGGUUGAAGAUGGCGGAAUGAGACAAGUAGCGGUGAAAUGCAUAGAUAUGUCUCAGAACUCCGAUUGCGAAGGCAGCUGUCUAAGUCAUUAUUGACGCUGAUGCACGAAAGCGUGGGGAUCGAACAGGAUUAGAUACCCUGGUAGUCCACGCCCUAAACGAUGAUAACUCGAUGUUGGCGAUACACAGUCAGCGUCUUAGCGAAAGCGUUAAGUUAUCCACCUGGGGAGUACGCCCGCAAGGGUGAAACUCAAAGGAAUUGACGGGGCCCGCACAAGCGGAGGAGCAUGUGGUUUAAUUCAUGAUACGCGAGGAACCUUACCGGCUUGAAGUUACUGAAUUAUCUAGAGAUAGAUAGUCCUUCGGACAGGAAACUAGUGCUGCA
rnacentral:rRNA from 1 species